UUGUUAGGAAACCUGUAGCUGAAGAAGUUGAGGUAACCACUCAAAGGCUUGAGGAGGAAGAACUCAGACUGCCUAAAGGUACUGGUACCUACUGCAUGAUGUUAAUGCCACUAUGACAUGAAAAUAGUUGGAAUAUUGCCACUUUAUGUGUUUGCAGAAACAAAUGUUCUUAAUUUAACAUAGAUCUGAUCGAUUUUCAAUCUUUGAGACAAUGAUGGUAACAACCCUUGCCCAGCUGUAGUGAAAGGAAGAUAAAUGCAGCAGUUUAUGAGAAACAUAUGAGCCUGUAGAGCUAACAUCUAAUACUUGAGGGCAGGGAGUGCUGAUAAACUACAUUUGGAAAGGAGUAUCUCCUUCACCCUUACCCACCCAUGUCUGACCUCCAAUUCUCCAUACAGGUUCAUCAACCAGGGUAUCUUCAACCAAUCGUUUGGGCAUAUGGAUACAUAUGCAUUCAGCUCCUUGCUGAUUGGGCCCCUAAAACUCAACAGAAUGAGGAGGCCAUGAACAUCCAUGCAGCAGUGGUCACAAAUUUCAUAACCCCCUAAUAAGAUAUGGACUGUAGUAGGGGAUCAAAAGAAACAACCACGGUCCUUAUAUCAUUUUGUGCUGUCCCAUGCAAGCCUAGCACAGCUGCAGGGCUGGAUCAGAUUACAUUUGUCUUGUUUGUUACAUUUUCAGUGUGCUGCAAACAUUAACUAACUGUAAUAUUAAUUUGGUAUCCUCACUACAUAUGAGACUAACAAUUCAUAUUUCUAAAGUACCAGCAGUUCCCAAGAAGGUUCCGCCACCAAAACCUACCCGGGUGCCAGUCGAGGAGGAAGAAGUUAUGAGAAAGAAAGUACCGACAGUAGAAACGUGGACUAUUUCAGAAGAAAAGAUGUCUGUUUCUGUUCAUGCAGAAGAAGAAUAUUCUUAUGUUUCAGAGCCAAAAGUACAUGAGAGAACUGUCCUAGAAGAAAAAGUACAUGUUGAAAUUCCUGAGGUUCCCCCAGCUAAAGUUCCUGAGGCACGUAAGAAAAAAGAAGAGAAAAUACCUGUUGCUGUUCCCAAAAAGGUGGAGGCUCCUCCAGUUAAAGGUAAAUAA
rnacentral:lncRNA from 1 species